UACGUAGGAUGCGAGCGUUGUCCGGAUUUACUGGGUGUAAAGGGAGCGCAGGCGGAUCGGUAAGUCAGUGGUGAAAUCCUCAGGCUCAACCUGGGAACUGCCACUGAUACUGCUGAUCUUGAGUGUGGAAGAGGUCGAUGGAAUUCCUGGUGUAGCAGUGAAAUGCGUAGAUAUCAGGAAGAACACCGAUGGCGAAGGCAGUCGACUGGUCCACAACUGACGCUCAUGCUCGAAAGCGUGGGGAUCAAACAGG
rnacentral:rRNA from 1 species